ACGCUGGCGGCAGGCCUAACACAUGCAAGUCGAGCGGUAGAGAGAAGCUUGCUUCUCUUGAGAGCGGCGGACGGGUGAGUAAUGCCUAGGAAUCUGCCUGGUAGUGGGGGAUAACGUUCGGAAACGGACGCUAAUACCGCAUACGUCCUACGGGAGAAAGCAGGGGACCUUCGGGCCUUGCGCUAUCAGAUGAGCCUAGGUCGGAUUAGCUAGUUGGUGGGGUAAUGGCUCACCAAGGCGACGAUCCGUAACUGGUCUGAGAGGAUGAUCAGUCACACUGGAACUGAGACACGGUCCAGACUCCUACGGGAGGCAGCAGUGGGGAAUAUUGGACAAUGGGCGAAAGCCUGAUCCAGCCAUGCCGCGUGUGUGAAGAAGGUCUUCGGAUUGUAAAGCACUUUAAGUUGGGAGGAAGGGCAGUAAAUUAAUACUUUGCUGUUUUGACGUUACCGACAGAAUAAGCACCGGCUAACUCUGUGCCAGCAGCCGCGGUAAUACAGAGGGUGCAAGCGUUAAUCGGAAUUACUGGGCGUAAAGCGCGCGUAGGUGGUUCGUUAAGUUGGAUGUGAAAUCCCCGGGCUCAACCUGGGAACUGCAUUCAAAACUGACGAGCUAGAGUAUGGUAGAGGGUGGUGGAAUUUCCUGUGUAGCGGUGAAAUGCGUAGAUAUAGGAAGGAACACCAGUGGCGAAGGCGACCACCUGGACUGAUACUGACACUGAGGCGCGAAAGCGUGGGGAGCAAAC
rnacentral:rRNA from 1 species